rnacentral:rRNA from 1 species
GGUUAAGCGACUAAGCGUACACGGUGGAUGCCCUGGCAGUCAGAGGCGAUGAAGGACGUGCUAAUCUGCGAUAAGCGUCGGUAAGGUGAUAUGAACCGUUAUAACCGGCGAUUUCCGAAUGGGGAAACCCAGUGUGUUUCGACACACUAUCAUUAACUGAAUCCAUAGGUUAAUGAGGCGAACCGGGGGAACUGAAACAUCUAAGUACCCCGAGGAAAAGAAAUCAACCGAGAUUCCCCCAGUAGCGGCGAGCGAACGGGGAGGAGCCCAGAGCCUGAAUCAGUGUGUGUGUUAGUGGAAGCGUCUGGAAAGGCGCGCGAUACAGGGUGACAGCCCCGUACACAAAAAUGCACAUACUGUGAGCUCGAUGAGUAGGGCGGGACACGUGGUAUCCUGUCUGAAUAUGGGGGGACCAUCCUCCAAGGCUAAAUACUCCUGACUGACCGAUAGUGAACCAGUACCGUGAGGGAAAGGCGAAAAGAACCCCGGCGAGGGGAGUGAAAAAGAACCUGAAACCGUGUACGUACAAGCAGUGGGAGCCUCUUUUAUGGGGUGACUGCGUACCUUUUGUAUAAUGGGUCAGCGACUUAUAUUCUGUAGCAAGGUUAACCGAAUAGGGGAGCCGAAGGGAAACCGAGUCUUAACUGGGCGUUAAGUUGCAGGGUAUAGACCCGAAACCCGGUGAUCUAGCCAUGGGCAGGUUGAAGGUUGGGUAACACUAACUGGAGGACCGAACCGACUAAUGUUGAAAAAUUAGCGGAUGACUUGUGGCUGGGGGUGAAAGGCCAAUCAAACCGGGAGAUAGCUGGUUCUCCCCGAAAGCUAUUUAGGUAGCGCCUCGUGAAUUCAUCUCCGGGGGUAGAGCACUGUUUCGGCAAGGGGGUCAUCCCGACUUACCAACCCGAUGCAAACUGCGAAUACCGGAGAAUGUUAUCACGGGAGACACACGGCGGGUGCUAACGUCCGUCGUGAAGAGGGAAACAACCCAGACCGCCAGCUAAGGUCCCAAAGUCAUGGUUAAGUGGGAAACGAUGUGGGAAGGCCCAGACAGCCAGGAUGUUGGCUUAGAAGCAGCCAUCAUUUAAAGAAAGCGUAAUAGCUCACUGGUCGAGUCGGCCUGCGCGGAAGAUGUAACGGGGCUAAACCAUGCACCGAAGCUGCGGCAGCGACACUAUGUGUUGUUGGGUAGGGGAGCGUUCUGUAAGCCUGUGAAGGUGUACUGUGAGGUAUGCUGGAGGUAUCAGAAGUGCGAAUGCUGACAUAAGUAACGAUAAAGCGGGUGAAAAGCCCGCUCGCCGGAAGACCAAGGGUUCCUGUCCAACGUUAAUCGGGGCAGGGUGAGUCGACCCCUAAGGCGAGGCCGAAAGGCGUAGUCGAUGGGAAACAGGUUAAUAUUCCUGUACUUGGUGUUACUGCGAAGGGGGGACGGAGAAGGCUAUGUUGGCCGGGCGACGGUUGUCCCGGUUUAAGCGUGUAGGCUGGUUUUCCAGGCAAAUCCGGAAAAUCAAGGCUGAGGCGUGAUGACGAGGCACUACGGUGCUGAAGCAACAAAUGCCCUGCUUCCAGGAAAAGCCUCUAAGCAUCAGGUAACAUCAAAUCGUACCCCAAACCGACACAGGUGGUCAGGUAGAGAAUACCAAGGCGCUUGAGAGAACUCGGGUGAAGGAACUAGGCAAAAUGGUGCCGUAACUUCGGGAGAAGGCACGCUGAUAUGUAGGUGAAGCGACUUGCUCGUGGAGCUGAAAUCAGUCGAAGAUACCAGCUGGCUGCAACUGUUUAUUAAAAACACAGCACUGUGCAAACACGAAAGUGGACGUAUACGGUGUGACGCCUGCCCGGUGCCGGAAGGUUAAUUGAUGGGGUCAGCGCAAGCGAAGCUCUUGAUCGAAGCCCCGGUAAACGGCGGCCGUAACUAUAACGGUCCUAAGGUAGCGAAAUUCCUUGUCGGGUAAGUUCCGACCUGCACGAAUGGCGUAAUGAUGGCCAGGCUGUCUCCACCCGAGACUCAGUGAAAUUGAACUCGCUGUGAAGAUGCAGUGUACCCGCGGCAAGACGGAAAGACCCCGUGAACCUUUACUAUAGCUUGACACUGAACAUUGAGCCUUGAUGUGUAGGAUAGGUGGGAGGCUUAGAAGUGUGGACGCCAGUCUGCAUGGAGCCGACCUUGAAAUACCACCCUUUAAUGUUUGAUGUUCUAACGUUGACCCGUGAUCCGGGUUGCGGACAGUGUCUGGUGGGUAGUUUGACUGGGGCGGUCUCCUCCUAAAGAGUAACGGAGGAGCACGAAGGUUGGCUAAUCCUGGUCGGACAUCAGGAGGUUAGUGCAAUGGCAUAAGCCAGCUUGACUGCGAGCGUGACGGCGCGAGCAGGUGCGAAAGCAGGUCAUAGUGAUCCGGUGGUUCUGAAUGGAAGGGCCAUCGCUCAACGGAUAAAAGGUACUCCGGGGAUAACAGGCUGAUACCGCCCAAGAGUUCAUAUCGACGGCGGUGUUUGGCACCUCGAUGUCGGCUCAUCACAUCCUGGGGCUGAAGUAGGUCCCAAGGGUAUGGCUGUUCGCCAUUUAAAGUGGUACGCGAGCUGGGUUUAGAACGUCGUGAGACAGUUCGGUCCCUAUCUGCCGUGGGCGCUGGAGAACUGAGGGGGGCUGCUCCUAGUACGAGAGGACCGGAGUGGACGCAUCACUGGUGUUCGGGUUGUCAUGCCAAUGGCACUGCCCGGUAGCUAAAUGCGGAAGAGAUAAGUGCUGAAAGCAUCUAAGCACGAAACUUGCCCCGAGAUGAGUUCUCCCUGACUCCUUGAGAGUCCUGAAGGAACGUUGAAGACGACGACGUUGAUAGGCCGGGUGUGUAAGCGCAGCGAUGCGUUGAGCUAACCGGUACUAAUGAACCGUGAGGCUUAACCUU